AGUGAACGCUGGCGGUAGGCCUAACACAUGCAAGUCGAACGGCAGCACAGUAAGAGCUUGCUCUUACGGGUGGCGAGUGGCGGACGGGUGAGGAAUACAUCGGAAUCUACUUUUUCGUGGGGGAUAACGUAGGGAAACUUACGCUAAUACCGCAUACGACCUACGGGUGAAAGCAGGGGAUCUUCGGACCUUGCGCGAUUGAAUGAGCCGAUGUCGGAUUAGCUAGUUGGCGGGGUAAAGGCCCACCAAGGCGACGAUCCGUAGCUGGUCUGAGAGGAUGAUCAGCCACACUGGAGCUGAGACACGGUCCAGACUCCUACGGGAGGCAGCAGUGGGGAAUAUUGGACAAUGGGCGCAAGCCUGAUCCAGCCAUACCGCGUGGGUGAAGGAGGCCUUCGGGUUGUAAAGCCCUUUUGUUGGGAAAGAAAAGCAGCAGGUUAAUACCCCGCUGUUCUGACGGUACCCAAAGAAUAAGCACCGGCUAACUUCGUG
rnacentral:rRNA from 1 species